ACUAUGGGUAGUGCGCAGAGAAUCCAUUCCCUUUUUUGUUUUGAACAGCAAUCAAUUCCCUUCUUCCUUCUCUGUUAGCGUGUUUCUCCUCUGUAGUGUUCAUUCCAACUCCAUUCAUUUUCUGCUAUUCAGCCGCUGGGCAUGGUGGCGAUAGAUGGAUUUGAGGGAGGGUUUGGUUUGUGUUUUUUUGCGUGAUCUUUCUGUGAUGCUAAACAAAAUUUAACUGACGGCGGGUUUGGUUUAUGUGUUUGGGCAUGAUCUUUCCGCGACCUACUCGUUCUUGAGUGAGAUGGUGAUUUGUUUGGAGUUUAUAGGGUUUGGGAUAUCUCCUAUCGAUAUGAAACAUGGGUUGGUUAGCCGAACAGUUGAAGAAAUUUCGCAAUCAACAAUGGGGCUUAUGCACAUACGUUGGUUUUGAAAUGUGGCAUCUUGGGUUGAUGACAGGACUUGUAGUAUUAAUUUCAUCAAGCCGCUAUUUGCUAUUGAAGAUUUGGCCAGAAUUUGCUGAGUCCAGUGAAGCAGCCAAUAGACAGGAAAUUCUUCGCUGGCCAUGAAAUCUGGACAUGAAACAUGGGUUGGUUAGCCGAACAGUUGAAGAAAUUUCGCAAUCAACAAUGGGGCUUAUGCACAUACGCACACCUUUAUGGGAAACUGCUUCCUCCGCAAGAUAAAAGGCCACUUAGAGUCAUCAGAAGUCAGAACAAUCCUUGGGAUUAGUACUUUUGAACCAACAUUAGAUCCUGUAAUUAUUUUUGCUUCUAUUAUUCUUUCUCCCAAAUGCAAAAUAAUGAGUCUAGUUCCAUUGCACAUUCCUAAGGCAGGAUUGAUAUUUCUCAAUAACAUAAUAGGCAUUCCUUCUUUAAGCUCUAAGCAAUGAUUAGGAAACCCAUUAAUACUCAAGGAGUUGAGAAAUUCUACGGGAUACAUAAGCUCUUGUUCUGAUAUGUUAUCAGUUGUUUUGUCAAUUUCAUCUGAGCUCCUGUAUUGUUUUGUAGAUCCUUCAGUAAUCUGAACAAUAUAAUUAUUGAUUUCAUCAACUGUUUCAUUUAGAGGAGUGAGUAUUGCCCUUUCCCUGAGAUAUUCUUCAUUCCACAAAUGCCGCUUUAAGUUUGGAUAUGUGCUUUCCACAAUUUGUUUGAGUGGAUCGCCCAUUGGUUGGAUAAGAUAUUGAUUUGGUAUCCUUGUCCAUGAUGCAAUCUCUUCUCCAUCUUUGCAUAUAGUUUCAAUGUUUCCAUCACCAAGUUGAAGGAGCCAUUUAUUGAAUUCGCGUGUCGAAGCCUGUUGUUCACCUGUAGUAUCUCGGACUCUCAUGCUCUUGGACAACAUAAAAAUUUUGCAGUGGUCCCACAGAUCAGAAUUGUUGAUACAUGCUUGAACUAUAUCAUGCCGCCGUCCUUUUGGUAUCACCGGAAGUAUUUGCCUAAAAUCUCCUCCAAGAAGAAUGGUCUUUCCUCCAAACGGCUGUUUUUUCUUUUCUGGGAAUUUGUAACCAAUUAUGUCUUGAAGUGUCUUGUUAAGAGCUUCAAAAGCAAAUCUUUUAGUCAUUGGUGCUUCAUCCCAAAUUAUUAGAUCUGUUUGAACCAUUAGCUGAGCCAGAUGAGUAUUUUGUUUGAUCGAGCACGUGCUGUUUUCAUAGAGAUCUAGUGGAAUUUGAAAUCUACUAUGAGCUGUCCUUCCUCCCGGCAAUAAUAGUGAUGCAAUACCUAUCAGGAAUAAAAGAAAUUAAAAAUAAGUUUGAUAGCACAAAAGUACAUUAACAAUAGUAUUAAAGAAAAUAAUAUUAAGAUAUGUUGUAUAGAUAAGUAGUUAUUUUUAUAUUAAAUACAUGAAGGCUAAAAAUGAUUAAAAAAUAAGGAAACAUACAUAUUUACGUUAGAAAUAAGGAAAUUUAUUUUUUAUAGUUUAUUUUUUAUAAAGAUUACCUGAAGAAGCUACGGCAAGCACUAUUUUUUUCUCUGACCUGAGUUUGGCAAUGAUUGUUCUGUAUAGAAAAGUUUUACCAGUUCCCCCAUGGCCAUAUACGAAGUAGACUCCACCCAUGUUUGUCUCGACUGCUUUUAAAACAUGAUUAUAUACAAUAAGUUGUUGGUCAUUGAGUAAUGGAUGACACCUUUCAUGUUCUUU